GGAGACCUACCUGAUUCCCUCCCGCGUGCGAUCUCCGCUGGAGCGACUUCAAACGAGAAGUAAAUGUUUGCAAAAAGAUGAAGAAAUAUAACCGAGAGGAGACGCUCCGUCGGCUCCCUUCGCUCCGGACCGAGAGGCGCGUCAGAGUCCGUUCAUCGUAGCCGGACGUCAGCGCUGGACACCAGGAGGAGGAUGGAGUUUAUAUCAGACCUCAGCAGGAACAUCUGAGCCUCCUGUACACCAACCAGGAUCUCCACUUUCUGAGCUACAUCACCGCAGAUGCUUUUGAACAAGAUACAACCACUAAAAUAACUUGUAAAUGUGAGUAUUUAUCUAUUUUAAUCUUUAAAGAAUGUGUCAAUACAUUUUUGGAAGGCCCAGGUAAUGGUGCAUUCAGUAAUGAGCCCUAGUUGGAGUCCCUGGUGAUUGUUUCUGACAAGAGAAGAAAGGCUUUAAAUCUUUACUUAUGUCCGACUCUUUGUUCACAUCAGAUACAUAAAAACGAGAUAAAAAAUCUACCAAGAGAAUAAAAACCACAAAGCAGUACAAUCAUUUAAAAAUUAAGCUUGAAUCAGUUCAAACAUGAAUUUUCCCCCCAAAUAUUUAUAUUAAUAUUGUGCAUAAUUUUAGCAUCAAGCAAAAUCAAUGUCUCCAUGCAAACUGUGUUUUUACCUGUGAGGGUAGAAAUGUCUCUUCUAAAUCCGAGACCAUGGUCUUAAAUCGGAAAAGGGUAGAAUGCCUUCUCUAGGACAGGGACCAGGUCCUGUCUCAAGUGGAGGAGUUUAAGUAUCUCGGGGUCUUGUUCAUGAGUGAGGGAAAAAUGGAGCAUGAGAUUGAUUGGUGCUGCAUCUGCAGUGAUGCAGGCAUUGUACCAAGCUGCCAGGGUGAAGAGAGAGCUGAGCCAGAAGGCAAAGCUCUCAAUUUACCGGUCGAUCAACGUUCCUACCCUCACCGAUGGUCACGAGCUUUGGGUAGUGACCGAAAGAACGAGAUCGCCAAUACAAGCAGCCAAAAUGACUUUUCUCCAAAGGGUGUCUGGGCUCCCCAUUAGAGAUAGGGUGAGAAGCUUGGUCAUCCAAGAGGGGCUCGGGGUAGACCCGCUGCUCCUCCACAUCGAGAUGAGCCAGUUGAGGUGGCUCGGGCAUCUGGUCAGGAUGCCUCUGUAACCAUACCAGCCCUACUGGUAGGUCCAGUUCUUUAUUAACUCUGCAUUGUGUUGUACAAAGAGUCUUGAGAUGAAGUUUUUGCUGACACCAGCAUUUAAUCUGUUAACACAGGAAUGCUGGUCAGAAACCUAGCCUUUGGUAGGAUCAUACAGCACACUCUGUUGGAAUUAAAAGACUCAAAUAAGUACUAAAUAACUUUGAGUUUUCCUCACACACCGUGCACUGACAGAACUCGACCUACCUCAAACGUCUCAGUCUUAAAACUGACUAACAUCAGACGCAGCUGGACACGUCAGCACAUAAAACGGAGACGUUUUCAACUGUUUUACUGAUGGCAAGCGGAAUGACACUGUUUACUCUAUUACACCUCCUGAAUGCCUCCCUGGUGAGGUUUUCCGGGGCACGUUCAACUGGGAGGAGACCCAAGGGAAGACCCAGGACACGGUGGAGGGACCAUGUCUCUUGGCUGGCCAGGGAAUGCCCUGGGAUUCCCACGGAAGAGCUGGCCCAAGUAACUGGGGAGAGGGAAGUCUGGGUCUCUCGGCUUAGGCUGCUGCCCCUGCGACCUGACUCCGGAUAAGCGGCUGAAAAUGGAUGGAUGGAAGGGUAGGAAUGUCUGUUUAAGCUUCAGGUGACCGACACUUUUGUAGCACUGAUGCAGGAACUCUAUGUAAUAUUCCUGACUGUGUCUGGUGAUGACGAACUGUAACCAAACUGAUCAGAAACCAAAGCUGUCAGGUAAAAUCAUGUUGAGCUGUGACCUUCAAGCAUCCUGCUAAACCACAUUCCACAGCUAUAGGAGAAGGUUCUAGGUCACAUUUGGUUUUUAACAGCUUCUUUUGCUGAUGAUUUUAUAAAAAAUUCAAUUAGGUUUAUUUUAGGACAUAAGCUCACUUUUCUGUUGUGUCAUGAUUCUAUAAAAGAGUUGCCAGCUUACAUAAUCAUACUUAGCAGAUGAACUCAAAAACCCUCUACGUGGGAACUCAUCAUCCAACCGUCCAUUUUUCCUUUCAGUUAAGCCACAAUGUUUUUAUCUGAGGGGUCUGCAACCACAACAUAAGAGUUUAUUUCUUUUUAAUGUGAGUCUCUUAAACUGUUAUGCAACAAGGAAAAAAUGGUGAGAACUUUCUAGAUUUUGUUGAGAACCACACAGAGCUUUAUGAAUUCUUACUAAUUCUGAAAAAAAAUUACUAAAAUCAGCAGUCCAGUCGGCGAUAGAGCUUCGCAUCAAUGAACACACACACACACACACACAUAUAUAAACAGAGAGAGAGAGAGAGAGAGAAAGAGAGAGAGAGAGAGACAGAGAGAGAGAACUUUUAGUUAUUUUUGCUUUUAUUGAUUGUUGUAAUAAUAUUUAAUGGCUGGUUACACAUUUCAUGAUAUUCUAUCUAUUAUAUAAUAUAAUACGUUUUGUUUCUGUCACAUUCAGCACUUUGAAAUGUGCUACUGUUGCGCUAAUUAGCUUUCAAAGAUCACAAUAGAUAAACAGCUGUGGUUGUUGAAUGAUUAAUAAAUAGUCUUAAUUAGUUUGAUACAUUUUCAAAUAAUUGAUAUUUGUUAAUUCAAUGGGUUAUCUGCGAUUUUACCUUUUUGAAUCAAUUUUUAUCCUUUUCUGAGCUUCCCCAUUUGACCUUUUACUUUGGAUUGAAGGAAUCAGUGUGAGUUAGUGAAUAUGAGUGUGAUUUCAGCCAGAAAACCAAACUAUUACAGAGCCAUUAGAGAUAGCUCAGGCUUUUCUUUUACUUCGGACAAAUCGUGUUGUAUAAAUACUUUCAUGCAAACUGUUCAUCGUGUUCUUGCAGAUGCAAGCAGAAAUAGUGAUGUUUGCAGCACCAGUGGCAGUCAUGGCCUGUGCCGAGUUAAACUCUGUGCUCUGCUGAGUCUUUCUGUGUGCAGGUGGGUGUGUCCGGAGAGCAGCUGCUGUCUAUCUGCUCAUCAGUGGUCCGGGGAUUUAAGGAGCGUCGGGACAACUCAUCAGUGCCGGAUGAUUACUCAGUAUUGGGAACUUCUCCUCCACCAGCCAACCUCCAGCAGGAAAUAGACUCAUUGGAUUCAAACCUUGCCUGCCAGCCCCGUCGCUUAUCCCUGACCGCCUGCUCUCCAACCCCACCUGCCAACCUGGACGUCCCGAGCUCUGGUGCUCAGCUCCCAGCCAUUACACCUGACUCUCACUCGACCCGCUCAGCCAGCCGUGACUUACCCUCCUCUCAAAGCCUUCUCCAACAACCAGGAAACCAACUCCACCGGAACCACCCAAACUCCGACCUUCAUCUUCACCUCCACCGUAUUAAAAUAAACCUUUUUACUUACC